rnacentral:rRNA from 1 species
CCUACGGGUGGCAGCAGUGAGGAAUAUUGGUCAAUGGGCGUAAGCCUGAACCAGCCAAGCCGCGUGAGGGAUGAAGGUUCUAUGGAUUGUAAACUUCUUUUAUAAGGGGAUAAAGUCAGGGACGAGUCCCUGUUUGAAUGUACCUUAUGAAUAAGGAUCGGCUAACUCCGUGCCAGCAGCCGCGGUAAUACGGAGGAUUCGAGCGUUAUCCGGAUUUAUUGGGUUUAAAGGGUGCGUAGGCGGCCUUUUAAGUCAGCGGUGAAAGCCCGUGGCUCAACCUUGGAAUUGCCGUUGAAACUGGUUGGCUUGAGAGUGUUUGAGGCAGGCGGAAUGCGUGGUGUAGCGGUGAAAUGCUUAGAGAUCACGCAGAACCCCGAUUGCGAAGGCAGCCUACCAAGCCAUUUCUGACGCUGAUGCACGAAAGCGUGGGGAUCAAACAGGAUUAGAUACCCGGGUAGUC